rnacentral:rRNA from 1 species
AUGUUAAAUAGUGCAGGUAUGUCUAAGGCAUGGUGGGGUGAGGCUGUCUUGACCGCUUGUCAUAUCCUUAACCGGGUUCCCACUAAAAAUAGUGAGGUGACUCCAUAUGAAGGAUGGGGAAAAAGGAAACCUAAUCUCUCGUAUUUGCGCGCUUGGGGAUGCUUGGCGAAAGUCAAUAUACCGAUAACCAAGAAACGCAAACUCGGACCUAAGACGGUUGAUUGUGUCUUUCUUGGUUAUGCACAUAAUAGUGUUGCUUAUAGAUUUUUAGUAGUUAGAUCCGAUGUACCGGAUGUGCCGGUAAACAUGGUGACAGAAUCUAAAGAUGCUACAUUUUUCGAGGACAUAUUUCCCAUGAUGACAAAUGGGACUUGGGAGAUCACUGACCGUCCAUUUGGUUGCAAACCAAUUGGAUGUAAAUGGAUCUUUAAGAAAAAGCUUAGGCCCGACGGUACUAUUGAAAAGUACAAGGCAAGGCUUGUGGCAAAGGGGUAUACCCAAAAAGAAGGCGAGGAUUUCUUUGACACUUACUCACCCGUUGCGAGAUUAACCACUAUCCGGGUGCUGUUGUCAUUGGCUGCCUCAUAUGGUUUCCACGUUCAUCAAAUGGAUGUGAAGACGGCUUUCCUUAAUGGCGAGCUAGAUGAGGAGAUCUAUAUGGAGCAGCCCGAUGGUUUUGUAGUACCCGGACAAGAAGGCAAGGUGUGUAAGUUGAUGAAAUCUUUGUAUGGCCUCAAGCAAGCGCCAAAGCAAUGGCACGAGAAGUUUGAAAAAACCUUUACAUCCACAGGCUUUGUUGUAAAUGAAGCCGAUAAAUGUGUUUACUACAGAUUUGGUGGGGGUGAGGGUGUGAUUUUAUGCUUGUAUGUUGAUGAUAUACUCAUCUUUGGAACAAGCAUUGCUGUUGUAAAAGACUUAAAGUCAUUUUUAUCCCAGUGUUUUGACAUGAAGGAUUUGGGAGAGGCUGAUGUAAUUCUAAACAUUAAAUUGAUCAAGGGUGAGAAUGGGAUUGCUCUUACGCAGUCUCAUUAUGUGGAUAAAGUCCUAACCCGCUUUGGGUUUAUGGAUUGCAAAGAGGCUCCCACACCUUAUGACCCUAGUCUAAAGCUUAGAAAGCAUGAUGGACAAGGGAAGGAUCAAUUGAGAUACUCCCAAAUUAUAGGAUCUCUUAUGUAUCUGGCUAGUGCCACUAGACCCGAUAUCUCAUAUGCUGUUAGUAAAUUAAGCCGGUUUACUUCUAAUCGGGAAAUGAUCAUUGGACAACAC